AGACGUCUACAUUAGAUACCCGGGUAGUCCCAGCCGUAAACUAUGCGCGUUAGGUGUAUCGGUGACCACGAGUUACCGAGGUGCCGAAGGGAAACCGUGAAACGUGCCGCCUGGGAAGUACGGUCGCAAGGCUGAAACUUAAAGGAGUUGGCGGGGAGCACCACAACAGGUGGAGCCUGCGGUUUAAUUGGACUCAACGCCGGGAAGCUCACCGGAUAGGACAGCAGAAUGAUUGCCGGGCUGAAGACCCUGCAUGACUAGCCG
rnacentral:rRNA from 1 species